CUUAACGGUGUGCGUCUGCAGAAAUCUGAAGACCAUCCCAGGCCGCCGACUUAAUUACGUCCAGGAUGCACGCCAGAGGUGAAAAGCCGCCGAGCACUGUUUUUCAAUCAUCAUCUCGCCAACUGACCUGGACUAGUGACACUAAAACCAGCAAUUAAAAGCCUCAGAUUCAAAUGCAUCCUGUUAAGGAGCCAUGGGUGAUUAGAUCAUAAAUCUGAGUGACCUUGAAGAUGAUGAAGGAAAUGUGCUUUGUAAGGCCAUCAUCUUGCCACCGAUCCAUCACUGACACAUCUUUACAGUUACAGCCUCAGCUUUCUUUAACCUUUUCUGGAGGGCCUAGUCUGAAUUCUGUUGAGCUCCUUCGGGCAGAAGAAAUGCUCUCACAAACCUGUGCUUCGAGGAGGAAGAGACCUGGGGCCCUACAGUGUGAUAGAAAGAACCCCAGCCCUGAACCAUCCCCAGCCUAGGGUGACAGAAACUCUGCUAGAAUCUAAGAAAACUCUAGCAAAAAUUGGGUUGUCCGUUGGGCCGGAUGGUAGAUUCGAGUGUUAAGAGCAACUGAGUUACAGAGUGCGGAGGCGACUUCCCACCCUGCCAAUGGUAGAGAAAACGCUGGUCCUCCCAAAUCCGACCACAGAAACUGCGCGGCGAGCUCGACGGGGUUUGGUGAGAGCAGAUACAAAUAUUCUGGAGAGCCGUAUCACUAAAAUCAGACCAGUACCACCCAUCCUGUGAAGGGGAGAACACCUAGCCUUGGGUAAUGAGGAGACAGCAAAGGAGAACCUGAAGGAGAAGGAGGGAAGUGGAACCCUCUCGGGUCUCUUUUCCAGUUCUAUGGAUUUGAUAUCAUCGACCAGAAGCAGUUCAGAAGACUGGUGUGGUACACUUGAUAAAAACAGCAGCCUCUCAGGAAUGUUUCCUCUCUGAUGUCCUGUGGAGUAAAUUGUGCCUUGUUGUAUUAUUAAUGAACUUUGUUAGGUGGUGCAAGCUUGCGGAUGACGCUUUGAUAGGGUACAUGGAGGCAUAUUGCUGGACUGAAGCUGCUUAUAAUCAGAAGUCUGGAAUCGACUGCUAAUAGACAGCUUAAUCCAAGCAUGAUGACUUCCCAUUAAUCUGUGAUGGGUUUUUAUUUCCCAUUAUAAACUAAAUAUGUAAACACAAAAGAAUUAGCAGGGCCGCUUUGAGAGGAUUUAAUUCUCAGGGCUCCCUCUGCUGGUGGUAGAGGGCGACAAAUUGCCAGAGAACUGAAGGAUGAGGGGAAUGUCCUUACCAUGAUUUUGCCAUUUAUAUUAGAGCUAAAU
rnacentral:lncRNA from 1 species